UGUGGGUUGUGUCCCGUGUACGUCUCCACUGAAUUAACUCCACUUAUUUUGAUUUAUUUAUUUAUUUAUUAAGAAAAAUAAGUCUUGUUGGAACAAACAUGCAGACCUUCACUGCUCAGGAGGACUACAAACCAAAGUAAAACUAGGGGCCAGCAAAAACAUGGUGCUCCACGGUCUUAAUUUAAUAAAACACAGUGGAACCCCCUGAAAUAGCGUGAAAUUCAGAAGCCUGUGGUGGGGCUGAAGCGUGGUGUGCUGGCUGGCAGAUGUUUGGAAAGGUGCUAAGAUGUAACUCUUAUUGUCCAUAGAAUUUGCUGUUAAUCACUUGCAAGAUACAAAGUGACGGCCAGCUGGAUGAAUAGGAGAAUGUAUGUGAACACCCAGAACUGACAGACCCGGGACGGUGCAAGUGGCUUGAAGUGGGCACUGAGAGAAAGCUCAGACAACAUUUAUACAUGCUAUUAACAUUCAAAUUAAUUUCCAUCAGGACACGACUUAAUUAAGCUGCUGAAGCGCCCACUAACUUUGGAUGUCGCCUAAACCUUCAGAUGGAAUCCUUGCAGGCAUUCCCGUGGGGAUCGGGAAAUUGCAGUAUGCCGGAACUACCGUUGCUGAUGUGGGGCGAGCGCUCUGAAGUGCACUUGGAGAAGGACACAUUCAAAUACGGCAUAUAUGAAAAGUUUAAUAUUUUAGACAGCUAGAUGAAAUGCUGGGGUCUUGGUGCAUUUUGCUUUGGCGGUCCAGGCUUUUCAGCAUCUUAGGGAAAUGUUUGGAAAUGAAUUUUAUUUUCACAACUGUGGUACAAUUACAAGGCGGGGAUGUUUCAGCCUUCUCAACGAGGUGCCCUUGGUGGUGGUGGUCUGUAAAUGGCUACAGAACUGACAGAGAACUCUGCAAGCAUUUUCUUUCGUUCUGAUUUGUAGUUUUAUUUGUUUUAACAGAGGGAUAAAACCCAGCAUUGUGCAUGUCCUUGCUCUGUGGGUUGGGGAUGUAUCGUUGUUGUUGUCGUUGUUUUCCUGGGAAGUAAAACAGGGUAGGAUAUUGGAAAUAAGGGCAAGUGGAUUUAUUGCUGAGCGAGUUGUACGCUGUUUGACAGAAAAUUCCUGAACUGAUCGGUGUUGGUGGAAGUUGGGGCUGCCUCCCGAUGUUUCCUGAGCCUUCUAUUUAGUUUGGAGUUCUGGGAAGUAUUUGUGGGCUUAAUCCAUUUACGCUUUUGAUAGGUAAAUGCAAGCCAUGAGUAACGGUACAUUAUUGCUAAGAAAAGAUGAAUGGAAGAAUGGAUGUUUUAUUUUACUAUAUAUGCUGGGAAAGGUUGUUCUUUCUUUCAGAAUAUAGCCCUGCUUUUCCUCAUACAACCUAUUUACAGGAUCAGACUUCUUAACUUAUUCACUUUUUUAUUUCUGUAUUUAUUGUAAUUAAAGCCAAAGGAGACAACACUUCUUCAGUCUUCU
rnacentral:lncRNA from 1 species